UGCAUAUAUAUAUAUAUAUAUGUGUGUGUGUGUGUUUGUGUAUGUGUAUACACACACACACACACACAUAUAUAUAUAUAUAUACACA
rnacentral:pre_miRNA from 1 species